rnacentral:rRNA from 1 species
UCACUUCUGGAUGGACCUGCGGUGCAUUAGCUUGUUGGUGGGGUAACGGCCUACCAAGGCGAUGAUGCAUAGCCGAGUUGAGAGACUGAUCGGCCACAAUGGGACUGAGACACGGCCCAUACUCCUACGGGAGGCAGCAGUAGGGAAUCUUCCACAAUGGGCGCAAGCCUGAUGGAGCAACACCGCGUGAGUGAAGAAGGGUUUCGGCUCGUAAAGCUCUGUUGUUAAAGAAGAACACGUAUGAGAGUAACUGUUCAUACGUUGACGGUAUUUAACCAGAAAGUCACAGCUAACUACGUGCCAGCAGCCGCGGUAAUACGUAGGUGGCAAGCGUUAUCCGGAUUUAUUGGGCGUAAAGAGAGUGCAGGCGGUUUUCUAAGUCUGAUGUGAAAGCCUUCGGCUUAACCGGAGAAGUGCAUCGGAAACUGGAUAACUUGAGUGCAGAAGAGGGUAGUGGAACUCCAUGUGUAGCGGUGGAAUGCGUAGAUAU